rnacentral:rRNA from 1 species
ACUAAGCGUACACGGUGGAUGCCCUGGCAGUCAGAGGCGAUGAAGGACGUGCUAAUCUGCGAAAAGCGACGGCGAGGUGAUAUGAACCUUUGACCCGUCGAUGUCCGAAUGGGGAAACCCAGUGUGAUUCGUCACACUAUCGUUAACUGAAUACAUAGGUUAACGAGGCGAACCGGGGGAACUGAAACAUCUAAGUACCCCGAGGAAAAGAAAUCAACCGAGAUUCCCCCAGUAGCGGCGAGCGAACGGGGAGCAGCCCGGAGUCUGAAUCAGCUUGUGUGUUAGUGGAAGCGUCUGGAAAGUCGCACGGUACAGGGUGACAGUCCCGUACACGAAAAUGCACAGGUUGUGAACUCGAAGAGUAGGGCGGGACACGUGGUAUCCUGUCUGAAUAUGGGGGGACCAUCCUCCAAGGCUAAAUACUCCUGACUGACCGAUAGUGAACCAGUACCGUGAGGGAAAGGCGAAAAGAACCCCGGCGAGGGGAGUGAAAAAGAACCUGAAACCGUGUACGUACAAGCAGUGGGAGCACCUUCGUGGUGUGACUGCGUACCUUUUGUAUAAUGGGUCAGCGACUUAUAUUCUGUAGCAAGGUUAACCGUAUAGGGGAGCCGCAGGGAAACCGAGUCUUAACUGGGCGUUAAGUUGCAGGGUAUAGACCCGAAACCCGGUGAUCUAGCCAUGGGCAGGUUGAAGGUUGGGUAACACUAACUGGAGGACCGAACCGACUAAUGUUGAAAAAUUAGCGGAUGACCUGUGGCUGGGGGUGAAAGGCCAAUCAAACCGGGAGAUAGCUGGUUCUCCCCGAAAGCUAUUUAGGUAGCGCCUCGUGAACUCAUCUUCGGGGGUAGAGCACUGUUUCGGCUAGGGGGCCAUCCCGGCUUACCAACCCGAUGCAAACUACGAAUACCGAAGAAUGUUAUCACGGGAGACACACGGCGGGUGCUAACGUCCGUCGUGAAGAGGGAAACAACCCAGACCGCCAGCUAAGGUCCCAAAGUCAUGGUUAAGUGGGAAACGAUGUGGGAAGGCACAGACAGCCAGGAUGUUGGCUUAGAAGCAGCCAUCAUUUAAAGAAAGCGUAAUAGCUCACUGGUCGAGUCGGCCUGCGCGGAAGAUGUAACGGGGCUAAACCAUGCACCGAAGCUGCGGCAGCGACGCUUAUGCGUUGUUGGGUAGGGGAGCGUUCUGUAAGCCGUCGAAGGUGUGCUGUGAGGCAUGCUGGAGGUAUCAGAAGUGCGAAUGCUGACAUAAGUAACGAUAAAGCGGGUGAAAAGCCCGCUCGCCGGAAGACCAAGGGUUCCUGUCCAACGUUAAUCGGGGCAGGGUGAGUCGACCCCUAAGGCGAGGCCGAAAGGCGUAGUCGAUGGGAAACAGGUUAAUAUUCCUGUACUUGGUGUUACUGCGAAGGGGGGACGGAGAAGGCUAUGUCAGCCGGGCGACGGUUGUCCCGGUUUAAGCGUGUAGGUGUGUGUUCCAGGCAAAUCCGGUUCACUUUAACACUGAGGCGUGAUGACGAGGCACUACGGUGCUGAAGUGAUAAAUGCCCUGCUUCCAGGAAAAGCCUCUAAGCAUCAGGUAACACGAAAUCGUACCCCAAACCGACACAGGUGGUCAGGUAGAGAAUACCAAGGCGCUUGAGAGAACUCGGGUGAAGGAACUAGGCAAAAUGGUGCCGUAACUUCGGGAGAAGGCACGCUGAUAUGUAGGUGAAGUCCCUGCGGGCGGAGCUGAAAUCAGUCGAAGAUACCAGCUGGCUGCAACUGUUUAUUAAAAACACAGCACUGUGCAAACACGAAAGUGGACGUAUACGGUGUGACGCCUGCCCGGUGCCGGAAGGUUAAUUGAUGGGGUUAGCGGCAACGCGAAGCUCUUGAUCGAAGCCCCGGUAAACGGCGGCCGUAACUAUAACGGUCCUAAGGUAGCGAAAUUCCUUGUCGGGUAAGUUCCGACCUGCACGAAUGGCGUAAUGAUGGCCAGGCUGUCUCCACCCGAGACUCAGUGAAAUUGAACUCGCUGUGAAGAUGCAGUGUACCCGCGGCAAGACGGAAAGACCCCGUGAACCUUUACUAUAGCUUGACACUGAACACUGGUCCUUGAUGUGUAGGAUAGGUGGGAGGCUUUGAAGCGUGGACGCCAGUCUGCGUGGAGCCGUCCUUGAAAUACCACCCUUUAAUGGCUGGUGUUCUAACGUGGACCCGUGAUCCGGGUUGCGGACAGUGUCUGGUGGGUAGUUUGACUGGGGCGGUCUCCUCCCCAAAGAGUAACGGAGGAGCACGAAGGUUAGCUAAUCCUGGUCGGACAUCAGGAGGUUAGUGCAAUGGCAUAAGCUAGCUUGACUGCGAGAGUGACGGCUCGAGCAGGUGCGAAAGCAGGUCAUAGUGAUCCGGUGGUUCUGAAUGGAAGGGCCAUCGCUCAACGGAUAAAAGGUACUCCGGGGAUAACAGGCUGAUACCGCCCAAGAGUUCAUAUCGACGGCGGUGUUUGGCACCUCGAUGUCGGCUCAUCACAUCCUGGGGCUGAAGUAGGUCCCAAGGGUAUGGCUGUUCGCCAUUUAAAGUGGUACGCGAGCUGGGUUUAGAACGUCGUGAGACAGUUCGGUCCCUAUCUGCCGUGGGCGCUGGAGAAUUGAGGGGGGCUGCUCCUAGUACGAGAGGACCGGAGUGGACGCAUCACUGGUGUUCGGGUUGUCAUGCCAAUGGCACUGCCCGGUAGCUAAAUGCGGAAGAGAUAAGUGCUGAAAGCAUCUAAGCACGAAACUUGCCCCGAGAUGAGUUCUCCCUGAGACUAUAAGUCUCCUGAAGGAACGUUGAAGACGACGACGUUGAUAGGCCGGGUGUGUAAGCGCAGCGAUGCGUUGAGCUAACCGGUACUAAUGAACCGUGAGGCUUAACC